GAUGAACGCUGGCGGCGUGCCUAAUACAUGCAAGUCGAGCGAACGGACGAGAAGCUUGCUUCUCUGAUGUUAGCGGCGGACGGGUGAGUAACACGUGGAUAACCUACCUAUAAGACUGGGAUAACUUCGGGAAACCGGAGCUAAUACCGGAUAAUAUUUUGAACCGCAUGGUUCAAAAGUGAAAGACGGUCUUGCUGUCACUUAUAGAUGGAUCCGCGCUGCCUUAGCUAGUUGGUAAGGUAACGGCUUACCAAGGGAACGAUGCAUUGCCGACCUGGGAGGGUGAUCGGCCACCCGGGACCUGUAACACGGUCCAGACUCCUGCGGGUGGCCGCCAUCGGGAAUCUUCCGCGAUGGGCGCACGCCUUGAGGAGCAACGUCGCGGCUGUGCAGAAGGUCUUCGGAUCGUAAAACUCUGUUAUUAGGGACGAACAUAUGUGUAAGUACCUGUGCACAUCUUGACGGUACCUAAUCAGAAAGCCACGGCUAACUACGUG
rnacentral:rRNA from 1 species